rnacentral:tRNA from 1 species
GCCCAGGUAGCUCAGUUGGUAGAGCACACCCUUGGUAAGGGUGAGGUCACGGGUUCAAUUCCCGUCUUGGGCUCCA